AGAACGAACGCUGGCGGCAGGCUUAACACAUGCAAGUCGAGCGCCCAGCAAUGGGAGCGGCGGACGGGUGCGUAACACGUGGGAACAUGCCUUUCGGUACGGAACAACUGCGGGAAACUGCAGCUAAUGCCGUAUACGCCCUUACGGGGAAAGAUUUAUCGCCGAAAGAUUGGCCCGCGUCUGAUUAGCUAGUUGGUGAGGUAACGGCUCACCAAGGCUUCGAUCAGUAGCUGGUUUGAGAGAACGACCAGCCACACUGGGACUGAGACACGGCCCAGACUCCUACGGGAGGCAGCAGUGGGGAAUCUUGGACAAUGGGCGAAAGCCUGAUCCAGCCAUGCCGCGUGAGUGAUGAAGGCCUUCGGGUUGUAAAACUCUUUUACCUGGGAAGAUAAUGACUGUACCAGGAGAAUAAGCCCCGGCUAACUUCGUGCCAGCAGCCGC
rnacentral:rRNA from 1 species